AUUGAACGCUGGCGGCAGGCCUAACACAUGCAAGUCGAACGAGUGGCGGACGGGUGAGUACUGCUUGGGAACCUACCUGAUGGAGGGGGAUAACUACGGGAAACUGUAGCUAAUACCGCGUACCAUAGGAUGAGCCCAAGUGGGUUUAGGUGGUUGGUGAGGUAAAGGCCCACCAAGCCGACGAUCCCUAGCUGGUCUGAGAGGAUGACCAGCCACACUGGGACUGAGACACGGCCCAGACUCCUACGGGAGGCAGCAGUGGGGAAUAUUGCACAAUGGGGGCAACCCUGACGCAGCCAUGCCGCGUGAAUGAAGAAGGCCUUCGGGUUGUAAAGUUCUUUCGGUAGGGAGGCGUUAACUGCAGAAGAAGCACCGGCUAACUCCGUGCCAGCAGCCGCGGUAAUAC
rnacentral:rRNA from 1 species